rnacentral:rRNA from 1 species
ACAACGGGCAUGACUUAAUAGCGGCGGAGUGAGCGGCAAAGCUCACAUUUGAAAUCUGGCUCUUUCACAGUCCGAGUUGUAAUUUGAACAAUGUAUCUUUGGGUCUGGCUCUUGUCUAUGUUUCUUGGAACAUAACGUCCCAAAGGGUGACAAUCCCGUGCGAUGAAAUCAUCCAGGCCUAUGUAAAGUUCCUUCGAAAAGUCUAAUUGUUUGGGAAUGUUUUUCUGAGUGGGUGGUAAAUUCCAUCUUUUAUUAAAUAUUGGCAAUACACCGAUAUCUAACUAGUACGGUGAUGGAAAUACCUGCGGCCUUUGAAAAGAGAAUGGUCAAUUUCGUGCCAUACUUGACCAGCAACGGCAACAAAAUGGACAUGCUGCUUUGUGCGACCCUUCAUCGGGGGGUGUCUCAAAUGACCCGUCCUGGCGAAUUUACUUUGCCGGCCAGAAACUUUGAUAUGAUUCUCCCUCCGUUUGGGGGGGGGGACAUUACAGAAGGACAUGUGCCCGCCCGUCACACCUUACAUGGCUAUCAUCUUGCGACGAUGGUCAAUAUGAUAUAACAACCGUCACUUCGAAUCCUCCCCCCAUAAAAAAAAGGGACCAAA